rfam:TPA: Bos taurus chromosome 9, whole genome shotgun sequence.
UCCCUGUGGUUCAGGUGGUGAAGAAUCUGCCUGCAAUGCAGGAGACCUGGGUUCAAUCCCUGGAUUGGGAA